CAUUGUGGAUGGCACUUCUUGUGUGUUGUUGAAAAAGUAACCAAAAAUAGCAACUAAAGUGCCCCAUAGACUGCAAAAACUACCAAAAUUUCGUGCGUGAGUGCCGCGUGAAUUGAUGUGCAACACUUUUGAGGACGUGCAGUGUGGAUUUCAACGUGUUUUUCGUGCUUUUCUCUCGUGUCUGACAAGCAGCCAGGAUGCAUUUGUGAAUUGAACUCAUCCAUCCGAGCCAACCGUCGACUUUACAGUGACCGUGACGACGCCACAUCAAUCGACGUCACGACGAGCCUACACUUCGUAACAGCUUGGACGGCAUGGCGGCCUCCACUCAGGGCGAAAUAAGAGUGGGUCCUGGCCACCAGGUAAACGAUAUCUAUGCCAAGUUACCAGACUAUCAGCCAAUUUCGAAGUACCAAUGCGACAACAAGGACUCCGAGCGUGACCUCGAGGAUCCUCGAUGGAGUCCGGGUGUUGUUUUGGAUGGUGAUUUGAUGAUGUACUUACGUGCAGCUCGAUCAAUGGCCGCGUUUCAAGGUAUGUGCGAUGGAGGCUCACCCGAGGAUGGAUGUUUAGCUGCUAGCAGGGACGAUACAACUAUAAACGCAUUAGACGUUUUACACGAUUCAGGUUAUGAUCCUGGAAAAGCACUUCAGACAUUAGUAAAGUGUCCCGUACCCAAGGGUAUCGAUAAAAAGUGGUCAGAAGACGAAACGAAGCGUUUCAUCAAGGGUUUACGUCAAUUUGGCAAGAAUUUCUUUCGCAUCCACAAAGAUCUCUUGCCGCACAAGCAAACGCCGGAACUUGUGGAAUUUUAUUAUUUGUGGAAGAAGACACCCGGCGCUAACAAUAAUCGUCCCCAUCGACGACGUCGUCAGGGUUCACUGAGACGCAUACGGAAUACCAGGGCGAGCAAUUCGACGCCAAACGCCAAAAAGGAGGAAACUCCAGAACCAACUUCGCAGGAACAGAGACCAUCACCGGUUUCAAAGGAAGAAAAUAGUUCAUUAACAGAGGACGACGCAAGUGAAUGUGAUAGCGAUUCAAGUGCUACGAAUAAACUUUUACACGAAGGUUCAACACCAGCUGGAAGUGAUUUUCUCGGUGACGAAUCCCCAUCGAGAAUGCGAACGCGGAAUAAGCAGUCGUCCAAAGAUCAGCCGAGUAGUAAGAGGCCAAAGCGUGGAUCUGAGACACCUGAUGCCACAGCUGAGAGUCCCAGAACACCAAAUAAGUCCGACAAGAAAAAGAGCAAAAGUGAGACUCCCAAUAAGGGAAGGAAGCGUCAAAAUGAUGCAAGUGAUGAGAGUGAUGAGAAGGAUAAGAGAAAGCGUUCAGACACCCCGUCUGAGAGUGGGAAUUCCGAUAGUCGUCCUGAAUCGGUGUUGGAUGAUGCUGAAAAUGCCACAGAGUCCCCAGAAGCAAAUUGCAGUGUUGGUGGCCCCAAGGAGGCUGAAGAGAAGCUCAUUGAUCCCCUUGCAACACCAAUGGAAGCUGCUGUGGUGGUGGGAAGUGGUGUUGUACCCAAAGAGGGUGCUGAAGAUGAACCAAUGCCACCGUCGUGUAAAGUGGAAGAACCUGUUGCUCUUGUGACGGAGGCAGUGGCAGCUCCUGUGGCUGUGGGUGGAGGUGAUGUAAAGGAAUCUCCUGCAGAAGAACCCAUUAAGAGUGUUGGUGAGAAGAAGGCAUCAGUGGAGGAGGAGGAAGCAGCAGCAGCAGCAGCAUCGGAGGAUGAUAAGGAACAACAACAGGAGAUGCUGUCAAAGAUUGCAAAUAUGAAGCAGGAAAUUAUCCCGUCGGCAGGAGAUCAAUCAGGACAACCACCAAUGCAGAAGGAAGUGAUGUUUAUCAAGAGGGAGCCAGGAGAGGAUUCUCUCGAGGAGAAUGUCACUGGAAAUGCUGAAGUGCAGCAACAGCAACAACAACAGCAGGAUAUUAAAUGCAAAGUCGAGAUAAAGACUGAAGGAAAGGUGCAGAAUGACGAAGGAACUGGGCAGCAGCAGCAACUGCAGCAACAGCAACAAGAUCCAGGGAAGUAUGAUGUAGAGAUGAAGCCAGCCUAUGAGGCAACAGUGAAGUAUCCACCUCCGGAACUUGGACCCAUGAAAUUCUCCACAUCAACGGAUGAACCCAUGAAGUAUGGUGAUCCAUUGAAGUACAGUGCUGAUGUUCUCAUGAAAUACCCAACGGAUAUGAGUGGGAAGUAUCCAGCUGUACCAAUUGAUGCGACAAAGUAUGGGAGUGGUCAGGAAUUGCCACAGAUUAAGUAUGAGAUGAAGCCGUAUAUGGAGCAACCGCAGAAUCUCAAAUAUCCCGAAGGAGGAGCAUUGAAGCCAUAUCCGGAGAGUGCUCUCAAGAUGCCUCCAUCUGGUCAGCAGCCGCCACCACCGAAUCAGGAUCCAAUGCACCUCCUUAAGGGUGCCUAUCCAAUGCCCAAUAUGAAGUAUACCCCACCACCGGCUGAUGCUCUCAAAUACGGUGGCAAUGAACCGGCAAGCCCCGGAAUGGGAAAAUCUCUCUUUGGUGGUGAUGGUCCAAGCCCAGCCCAUGGGAUCCCUCGCUCGCCCUACGAUGCAUCGCCAAUGAUGAAGUUUGGGGAUCAAAUGAUGAAGUAUCACAGCAUGGCGGGAGUUGCUAUGCCACCCACAAGUCAACCAGAUGCCCGUGAUGCGCCCCAACAUCCGGGAAUGAAGUAUCCCGGAGAGGGAGGAAUCCCCAAAAAUCAAUUUACCGCAGAUAAUCUCAUGAAGAGUGUGACGUAUGAUUCACCAGUUGGCAUGAAGUAUCCCCCAUCGGAGAGUCCCCUUGAUGCCUCAUCGCGCUCAACACCGAAUCAGGAUAGUCAAAGUAGCAAUAGUAACAGUCAAACGCAACCAUUGCACCUCCAUGGUGGGCCAGGAAGUAUUUCUUCGCCACAUUCAGCACAACAGACCAUCUCACCGCUAACAACAUCAUCGCACAGCUUGUCACAGCAGCAACCAACACCACUGAUUGUGAGUCAUCCGGGGCUUUUGCCACCACUUCCGGCAAAUCAUCCAUCUCUCAUGAGUGCUUCGGCGUCCCCGUCGUCAGUUCCGCCGCCGCCAACAAUGCAUCAACCACUUGCAAUGCCACCAAUUAGUGUUCCAUCGUCCCUCAGUCAGGGCCCGUUGAAAUUGCCACCGAAUCCAUUGUUGCCACCAUCGCAGCAGCAUCCACUUCACAGGCCCCAUCAGGAUGCCCUAUCAGGGGGACAUCCACUGUCAUCAGGUGGGCCACCCACGGGGCAGACAACAUCACCACAUUCCCACCACGUAUCAGCACAAUCGGCAUCACAACGGCGAAGCCCAUCACCAACAGCGGUGAGUGUGAGGAGUGAUAGUGCAAGUAGUGGAGCUGCCCGUGAGAGUGGUGGACACUCAUCGGGGAGGACAUCUCCACCGCCACCAAUUGGUGCAAUGAUCCCCAAUAGUGCAAUGGUGGGUCACCCACUACCCCUGCAUCUUGGGCAUCAUGCCCCAGGUGGGAUUCCCCUGCCGCCGCAUCAUCCAGCAGCCCAUCUUGGUGGGCAUUUGGGGCACAAUCCGCUGUUGCCGCCCUCAAUGGCUGCUGGGAAUAUGCCUCUGCCUCUGCUGGGUGGACCUCCGGGGGCGCUUUCGCUUGGCGGUGAACCCGGCAGGAGGACACCCAUUUCGUCAGCAAGUAGCCUCCAUCAAUUGGGAUCAAUGCAUAGCACAACAUCCCAAUCCCCACAUACACAACAGAGCUCUGUUGCAUCCAUGACACCGAGUAGCUUUAGUCGUGCUAGCCCAAGUACGGCUCCAUCGCAGCAGAAUGCCUCAUCGGGUGGUAGUGGUGGGCCAUCACAGCAUCGUGUGGGCUCACCACUUCCCCUAACAGCUGGCCUGAGUCGCACAAGCCCCUUGCACCUUGUUCCACAGAGUCCUAUUGGGGCUCAUCAUCAAUCUGCCGCUGCGGCGGCUGCUCUGUCGGCCGCUGAACGCGAUCGGCAUGCAAUGCGUCAGCAAUCUCCGCACAUGACACCUCCACCCACCUCAGUAUCGUCAUCCUUCAUGCCGAGUCCACUGAGUAAGAUGUACGGGCCUCCGGGUGCGGGGCAGCGACACCUGGGUGCUUCACCGCCUCCACCGUCGCACCAUUUACGCCCCGGAGCUUCCCCACCGGUGGUGCGUCAUCCACAAAUGCCUCUCCCACUACCUCUAAUUGGGCCCCCAGCGGGUAUCCCAACGCCCAUGGGUGUCCAUCCAGCUGCCCAGAAUGCCUAUCCGCAUCAUCUAAUCCACCCAUCGAUGUUCUACCCGCAUCACCAUAGUCCCUUCAAUUCGCCCUAUCCCUACCAUCCGUAUGGCCCGAGUUUCUCCUACAUGAAACCCCCACCACCGGGUGGACCCCUCGAACCGGGUGUCAUAUCGCACCAUCAAAGUGUUACGUCGCGCUGCGAAGAAACCCCAACGCAUGUGGACAAGCAGAUGACCAUUACGAGUUCUCAGAGUGUUCAGCAUAAGAUAAAGAGUCAACCACCGAAGACUCCCCAAAAUCCACCUGUUGGUGCAACAGCCCCUCCAGGUGGGUCACAGAGUCAAUACCCGAGUCCCGUGCAUGGGUAUCCACCGGCACAUCCCUUCCCAGAGAGUCCACUUUCGGGGAAGACAAGUCACAUGGAUGCCCUACGUGCGCAUGCUCAUGCAGCCAGCAAUAGUCUUGGUUCCCAUCAUCCCGUGGAGCCGGUUCAUGUGGAUAUUGAUCCGGAUCCAGAACCAGAAAUUCCCAGUCCUCCGCAGCACAUACAGCGUGGACCGAGUCCCGAAGCAAAACCAGAUGACACCGAAUGUCAUAGGUCACAGUCUGCAAUAUUUGUGAGACGAUGCGAUCGUGGGGAUUACAAUUCGUGCACAAGGACAGAUUUGGAAUUUAAACCCGUUGCUGGGUCAACAUUGGCGCGAAAGCGUGAAGAGAGGGACCGGAAAUUGGCUGAGAGGGAACGUGAGAGACGACAGCAGCAGCAACAACAGCAACAGCAGCAGCAGCAACAGCAGCAACAGGCUCAGCAACAGGCAAAGUUAAAGUCUGAAAUUAAACCAUUCAGUGAUACUCCAGCCCUGAGGCAGCUUUCGGAGUACGCCAGGCCACAUGUGGCCUUCAGCCCUGUUGAGCCGAUGGUACCACCAUAUCAUCCAAUGGGCCCAAUGUACAGUAGAGAAAGAUUAAUCAACAAUUUCAGAGAAUUUGAAGAGUUGAAGAAUCAACAAGCAGCUGCUGUGGGACCAGCUAAUCCACAUUGGAUGGAGUUCUAUCGCAUGAGGGGCAUUCAUCCGUCGCAGUUUCCACUGUAUGGCAAUCCAGCGGCAAUAUCGCAACUUGAACGUGAAAGAUUAGGUAUUCCACCACCGCAUCAUGUAGGGCUCGAUCCCAAUGACCCAAUGCAGCAAGAAGCGGCAGGAUUUCAGCUACCACCGAAUGUUCCACCCUAUACUCGCCCGAAUGUAUUAUUGCCUAGAGAACCACAUCCUGAUGUCCUUCUCCGUAUGUCUUAUGCUGAUCAGAUUCAGGCUGCUGAAUUCCAACGUCUCGAUCGAGCUCAUUCAUUCCACGAGCAGUACUUUCGGUAAGUAAAAAGAAAUUCAAAAUCAUUUUUACAAAACGGUGUAAUAGUGUAGAAAAUGUAAUUGAUGCCCUAACCUUGAAAAUGUUUUAAAAAUCUUUUUUUUAUACAUUUAUUUAAUUUUUUACUCCAAAUUUAACGAAUUCUAACACUAAAAUUUCUCCUGAAAAGAUUUUUUUAUACGUUUACCCUAUUUCUACGUUAUUUAUUAAUUUUUAACUCAUUUACUAUACCAUAACCUUAAAAAUGCCUAAAAUAUAUUUUUUUACACUUUUAUUUAAUUUUUUACUCCAAAUCUAACAAAUUCUUAUAUUAAAAUUACUAUUAAAAUGAAUUUUUAUACAUUUACCCUAUUUCUACGUUAUUUAUUAAUUUUUACCUCAUUUACUAUACCAUAACCUUAAAAAUGCCUCAAAUAUAUAUUUUUUACACUUUUAUUUAAUUUUUUACUUCAAAUCUAACAAAUUCUAAUAUUAAAAUUGCUAUUGAAACUACUUUUAUGCCUUUACACCCUUUCUAUGUAAUUUAUUAAUUUUUAACUCAUUUAUUACACCCUAAACUACAUAUUUUUACUUGUAACUUACUAUUAAAAUUUACUACUGGACUAUUGCAAUUUUCAAGGUUUUUAUUACACAUUUAAAACAUUUUUCUACAUUUACGUCCUUUUUUUCUACAUCCAAUUCAUACCCCAUUUGACAACUUAGUCAGUUGUCAAAUUAUAACCUUAAAAUCAAUUUUUGAACCAAUUCUGACACUUAAAUAUCGUUUUAAUUCAUUAUUACUUCUUCAAAACUCUAAAAUGAUUUAGAGGUUACUUUUUUUUACACUUCUGCGGUAUUUUUAUCAAAAAUUUAUCAACUUUUAGUAUUCCUUUAACACUUUCAACUCCAUUUUUAUACUUCUACUCAAUUUUUAUCCAAAGUAAAUUAAUUUUAAUCUAAACUUAUGUUGGACUUUUUUUUUGUACUCUCUCGUUUUUUUACACUCUACUCCAUUAUUUUACUCUGAUACUACAUCUUCAAAAACAACUCUUAUUUUUGACUUAAAGACAAUAGUGACUGUUUCAAAGCGAUUGUCUUUUGAACGUUAAUCAUUUGUUUUUUUUUUUACGCUGCGGUAUGAUAACCUAAUAAAUCAUUGUAGAUGUUUAACUCUACAAAAAAUUCUCUUUUGUAAAAUAACCUUGCAACCUUAACCUUUAGUUUUGAGAAACUGAAGUAGAAAAAUCUGUUUGAAAAAAAAAAAAGACUGACAAUUUGACAGAACUGUGUGUUGUGUAGUUGGUAGCAUUUUGUUACGUGUAAUUAAUUUCACCACUCACUCCUCAAACUAAACAUAAAACGGUCGAUCUAUUGCAGACAUCAUGAAAGGGAAAUGAAAGUAAGAGCACUGGAGGAGGCAACACGUGGAAAACACUGAAUUUUUCCACACUAAAAAACAACGUUGGCAAAAAAAGCAUUUUGCUUUGUUUUUUAUCUACACAACAUAGAGCAAGAAAUUCAAAAAUAAAUAGUUUGUUAUUUAUUUUGAAUUUCUGAUGAUGUGAUAGUAAAAUCUUCACAUGAGAGAGAGAGAGAAAGAUGGCAGCCCCCUAUAUAUACGAAUAAUAUCACUUUUUGUAUCAUAAUAUGAAAGAGGAAUCAUAGUGUCUGGCAUUUUUAUUUGUAAAAUGAGACGUAAAAAAAUAAGUAUGUGUGUGUAUGAUGGGGUAAAAAAAUGCGUGAAAAAUAGUGGAAGUGUAUAGAAAGGUUAGGCAGGGAGUAAAAAAAAUACCAUGUAAUUAAUUAGCUUUAGGAGGGGGAUAAAAAAAAGUAGGUAACUUUUAGUGCGAUUUGUGUUCCCGCGUGAAGAGUAUUCAAAUCGAGAAAAAGAAAUUCUUUUAUCAAGAGAAAGAAGUAUUUUAAAAAAUCAGUAAAAAAAAUGAACAAGAAGUCUCGAUAGAAUUUUGUAUAUGCUUUAUAAAUUGAUUUAGUGCGUAGCUCCACUUUGAGGGAUAAAAAAGAAAAGAAAAAAAUCUUUAUUGACAAUUAAAUAACUAAAUAUAAAUUAUUACAUUUCAUAAAAAAAAAAAUAAAACGGUAGAAGCAUUAGAAAAUUUAAUUUACAAUUUAACCACACAAAAACAGCGUGAAAGAGCAAACAACUUCAAUUUUUUGAUAUAUUGCAAAUGUCAAUUUAACGAAAACGUUUAAAAUGACAUAACGGAAAAAUUACUUUCGUUCUUCAAUUUCAAAAGGGAGGAAUUUAUGAAAAUCAAAAACAUUUCAAAAAGAAUUAUUUACUUACUACAAGAAAAAUUACGUUGGAUUCGAUUUAAAAAAAAAUGUUGACAGGCACUUUGUAAUUUAUUACGCGUAUCUAACCUCAAAAAAAAAAACUUUACGUAGCUUGAAAAAAAUUCAGUCAUGUAGUAAAAUACAUGAGAGGUAGAAAAAUACCAACAGAGUAGGAAAACCCCGAAUGAGUUAACAAAAGUCAGUUUAUUCAGCAAAUAUUUCUUUUAGGGCGCUUAUAAUGGACCACAACGCUAUAGAAUAUUAUUAAUUAGGUAAUUUUAUUCGUUUUAGCAGUUUUUUAUAUUAUUAUUGUGAUUGCGCUUGAACGUGUGCGCUUUUUUUAGAACAAAUAAAAUGUACUUUUGACCACAUUUUAAUUCCUCUUGAUCACUUUUUUUAACGGAUAAUUUCAAAUAAAUAAAUAAGCACAACUCGAAGAUUAUUCUUUAAUUGAUAAAAUGUUUUUUUUUCUGAAUAUGUAAAGAAAAUUCUUUCUUUAAAGAAUAAUUUCUCAAGUUCAUAAUGUGAAGGAAAAUUCUUAAAAACUAGCAGAUCGCGUAUUUAAUAAAAUAGCUAAUUUUUCUUAACAGUGAUUCUCUUUUAAUUUCUCCAUAGAAAAAUGAAUAAUCUCUAAUUAAAUCAACUUCCAUAAAUUAUGUAGAAAAUUAAUUUAUCAACAAGCGAGAGAAUUUUUAUUUAAUGACGAAUCCCGGAAAUAAACAAAAAAAAUGUAGAAAAGGCUCCUGAUGAUUUAUUAAACCCCUAACUUAAUGACGAUAAAAAAUGUGUUUAAUAAAUUAUAUUAUUUUUUCUUUAUUUAAAAAGAAAAAAAAGGAUUUACUAAAAUAGUACGUGAACCUCUAUAUAUUGAAGAAUGAUAUUAAAUGUAUUUUUCUAUAAUAAAAAAGUAAUAAACUAAAGAAGAAAGUAAUACAUAUAUAGCACAAAUCUCAAAUUUAUGAGAACAAAGGCAUUUUUUUUUUCAUUAAAAGAAAAGAAAAAAAACUAAUUUAUUAUUUUAAUGGGAAACUUUUGAAGGAAUAAUGAGAAGGAACACAACACAGAACAUAGAAUUUAAUAAAAGAAUAAAAAAGACGUGAAAAGUAUGUUAUUCAAAGGAACUUUACAUUGACGCUACACCCACGAAAUAUGAUGGAGUCAUUAGCCAAUGAAAAUAGUUAUAAUUUUCAGUUGAAAUGUAAAUAAAUAAGAAGAAGAAUCAGAAGUUCUUUCUGAUUGGUUGAUAAAGCACAUGUAGAAUUUUCAUUGGUUAAUUUUCACUCGACUACUUUGUUGUCAAUCAUCACGGGGAUGGAGCUAAGGUGUCAAGUAACAUUUGAAUAGACUACAGUCGAUUGAAGAAAAAAAAACAAUUACCUUUACAAAAGAAAUGAGAUAAAAGAGCAAGAAAAAAGCAUAAAUUAGAAUUUAAGUGAUGAAAGAAAAAAGAAUAUAAAUAAAAUUGUACCGAAACUGAGAAUUUAUAUAUUAAAAAGAUAAAAGAAAAAAACUACAAUUUUGGGUAGAAAUAUUUUUUGCAAAUUUGCAAAAAUCCUCCUUAAAAAUAUUAUUUGUAUAAAUUUUAUUAAAUCUUUGAACAAUGCAAGAAAAAUCGCGCAAAAUGGUUUCGUCCUCCGGAGAAGAUUUUUUCAUUUCUCAAAAUAAUUUUAAAAAAUUCUCAAAAGAUCAACAUUGUGUUCUUUUAUUCUCUUUUUUUUGUUAUAAAAAUCUUUUAUUUUUUAUUAAAAAGAAUUUUAAAAUCUCCCCACAAAACACUUAUUUUGUGACAGGAUGUUUAUACAUAAAACUAGAGAAAAAAAUAGAAGGAAAGAAAAUAAGAUGAGUUUUUAAUAUUAAUUAAUUCCGAUAAAUCGUUCAAUUUGUGUUUGAACGUGUGUAAAUGAUUAUAAAAGAAAAAAAUGGAAUUUUAGAAAUUUAGAAAGUAAAAAAAACAUGCUCGUACAUAUGCAAAAAAAAACUGAAUAAAAACUAUUUACUCAAAGGA